rnacentral:rRNA from 1 species
UACGGGGGGGAGCAAGCGUUGUUCGGAUUUACUGGGCGUAAAGGGCGCGUAGGCGGCCACCGCAAGUCGACUGUGAAAUCUCCGGGCUUAACCCGGAAAGGUCAGCCGAUACUGCGGGGCUAGAGUGCAGAAGGGGCAACUGGAAUUCUCGGUGUAGCGGUGAAAUGCGUAGAUAUCGAGAGGAACACCUGCGGCGAAGGCGGGUUGCUGGGCUGACACUGACGCUGAUGCGCGAAAGCUAGGGGAGCGAACGGG